UACGUAGGGUGCGAGCGUUAAUCGGAAUUACUGGGCGUAAAGCGUGCGCAGGCGGUUUUGCAAGCCGGAUGUGAAAUCCCCGGGCUCAACCUGGGAAUGGCAUUCGGGACUGCAAGGCUGGAGUGCGGCAGAGGAGACUGGAAUUCCUGGUGUAGCAGUGAAAUGCGUAGAUAUCAGGAGGAAUACCGAUGGCGAAGGCAGGUCUCUGGGCUGACACUGACGCUCAUGCACGAAAGCGUGGGGAGCGAACAGG
rnacentral:rRNA from 1 species